CCUACGGGAGGCAGCAGUGAGGAAUAUUGGUCAAUGGACGAAAGUCUGAACCAGCCAAGUAGCGUGAAGGAUGACUGCCCUAUGGGUUGUAAACUUCUUUUAUAUGGGAAUAAAAUGUUCCACGUGUGGGAUUUUGUAUGUACCAUAUGAAUAAGGAUCGGCUAACUCCGUGCCAGCAGCCGCGGUAAUACGGAGGAUCCGGGCGUUAUCCGGAUUUAUUGGGUUUAAAGGGAGCGUAGGUGGAUUGUUAAGUGAGUUGUGAAAGUUUGCGGCUCAACCGUAACAUUGCAGUUGAAACUGGCAGUCUUGAGUACAGUAGAGGCGGGCGGAAUUCGUGGUGUAGCGGUGAAAUGCUUAGAUAUCACGAAGAACUCCGAUUGCGAAGGCAGCUUACUGGACUGGAACUGACACUGAGGCUCGAAAGUGCGGGUAUCAAACAGGAUUAGAUACCCCAGUAGUC
rnacentral:rRNA from 1 species